CCUCGAGCAGUCGUUUUCUCCUGCAUUAGUCGACAUUUGCUGGUUUUUAUUGCGCUAUCCUGUGUGCUUCAGUUGCAGGUCAACCGGCAGACGAUCGAUCACUUAGGCGCCUAGAUCCGCGUGAUUGGCUUGGCGCCAUUGCUGAUUGUGGGCUCUCAUCUUCCACCAUAUCGGUUGAAAAUGGCGAAAAGGAUUUGAGAAAAAAGAACUUCUCGAGCAGAAUUUCUGUAAUUAACAGUACAAGGCAGAAUUUAAUACAUCAAGCAUCGAUUGAGAAAUUUGGCGCAGCUGGGCAAGUAACUGGGGCGGGAUUUCUGAACGUUUCUUUGGAGGAAAAGCGACCUGCCCGGCUUAAUGUAAAGGCGGUCAACCGUGGUGGGAUAGUCUG